rnacentral:ribozyme from 13 species
AAAGAAAGAAAACAUUCUUCUGAAGUUCGAAUAGAAUCAAACCACUCUUUUCUAUUUGCUCCUCUUCUUCCUCCCUCUCCCUCAUUUUCUCUUUCUUCUCCUUUUUUUCCUUCUCUUAUCCCCCAUUCCCCCAUUUUCAAAUAGAGUCGAGAAGGGAAGAAGAAAGAGAGGUCGAUGGAAACAAGAGAAA